rnacentral:lncRNA from 1 species
UCUGCCUCAACAAGAAUGGAGUGCUCGAACGGAGAAUUUAGCAGAGUUUUGAGAUAGAAAAGAGGGCUUAGAGAAUAACGUAUCUGGAUCCCCUUUUAUAGGCAGAGGGGGCAACGGAUUGAUGGUGACACCUGCAACCGUCUGGUAGUGGGCCGCCCACGGUCAGGGAAAUUAAUUGCGGAGAGUGGUGGGGUAGACUCAUGGCUAUUGUCAUAGUCUGCCACGUAUGUCCUGUUGCGGAUAGUGGGGCGGCGUCCGUUGCCGCUAGCUGUCAGCGAGUAGUG